rnacentral:rRNA from 1 species
GAUGAACGCUGGCGGCGUGCUUAACACAUGCAAGUCGAACGAUUGAAGCUGGAGCUUGCUCCGGCCGAUUUAGUGGCGGACGGGUGAGUAACGCGUGGGUAACCUGCCUCAUACAGGGGGAUAGCAGUUGGAAACGACUGGUAAAACCGCAUAAGCGCACGGUGUCGCAUGACACAGUGUGAAAACACUCCGGUGGUAUGAGAUGGACCCGCGUCUGAUUAGCUAGUUGGUGAGGUAACGGCCCACCAAGGCGACGAUCAGUAGCCGGCCUGAGAGGGUGAACGGCCACAUUGGGACUGAGACACGGCCCAAACUCCUACGGGAGGCAGCAGUGGGGAAUAUUGCACAAUGGGGGAAACCCUGAUGCAGCGACGCCGCGUGAGUGAUGAAGUAUUUCGGUAUGUAAAGCUCUAUCAGCAGGGAAGAUAAUGACGG